CAGACUCAAGCACUUGGCCGAGAAACAAGCACUCAGAGCGAACUCAGCUGAACUGCCUCUUCUAGUGGUGUGCCGUCAGAGCCAGCAAGGCCUUCUCUGCUGGCCUAACAUAGCCAGAAAUCAUGAUCAUAAUUAAGCUCCGCCGGCACCUCCGCUUGAAGUGCGCCGGCAAAGCUGCAGGCAAUCACUAAUCAGUGCACCUGGGACUAAUGAAGACAGACAGGAUAAAGACCAGCGGACCCGAAGAUCCAGUGCCGGAACGUAGUUCACUCUUCGUAUGUUUCCCCUGUGUCCUGUGAUCGAGCUGUGUGCCUCGACUUCCCUCUGGAUUCUGGACUGCUUCCCUUGAUCCUCAACCCCUGCUUGGACACAGACCUCGUUGCUUCUCUCCUGCCCCCGACCUCUUGCUUGCCCACGGACUGCCUUCUCGUCUAGCCCCUUUGGUCUGACGAAGAAUUUACCCAACAUGCACUUACAACAAACUCUGGUAACAUUUACAUUGUUAAUUCUACAUAUCGUCUUGCACCAUUCACGUUUAGUAGCAUACACACCCCACCACUUCA